rnacentral:snoRNA from 1 species
AAUCAAAACUUUGGCACAAUUUGAGCUUGCUAGAGCAAGAAAGCCUAACCUAUUCUGGUUGUUCUCUACUUUAUGAAGCAAGCCGUUAUAUAGAUUUAAACAGU